rnacentral:rRNA from 1 species
ACGGGGUGCAGCAGGCGCGAAAACUCCGCAAUGCGCGCAAGCGUGACGGGGGAAUCCCAAGUGCCGUUGGUCUUAUGAUCGACGGUUUUUAGGAAGUCUAAGAAGCUUCCAGAAUAAGGGCUGGGCAAGACUGGUGCCAGCCGCCGCGGUAACACCAGCAGCCCAAGUGGUGACCACGAUUAUUGGGCCUAAAGCGCUCGUAGCCGGAUCAGCAAGUCCCUUGUGAAAUCGGGCCGCCUAACGGUUCGGCGUGCAAGGGAUACUGUUGGUCUUGAGGCCGGGAGAGGUCGGAGGUACUCCUGGGGUAGCGGUGAAAUGCUCUAAUCCUAGGGGGACCACCAGGGGCGAAGGCGUCCGACCAGAACGGACCUGACGGUGAGGGGCGAAGGCUAGGGGAGCGAACGGGAUUAGAUACCCCGGUAGUCCUAGCUGUAAAGCAUGCGGGCCAGGUGUCUAGCGCUCCUUGAGGGCGCUAGGUGCCGGAGGGAAGCCGUUAAGCCCGCCGCCUGGGAAGUACGGCCGCAAGGCUGAAACUUAAAGAAAUUGGCGGGGGAGCACCACAAGAGGUGGGACCUGCGGUUCAAUUGGAUUCAACGCCGGAAAACUCACCAGGGGCGACAGCUGGUUGACGGCCAGAUUGACGAUCUUGCCCGACUAGCUGAGAGGUGGUGCAUGGCCAUCGUCAGCUCGUACCGUGAGGCGUCCUGUUAAGUCAGGCAACGAGCGAGAUCCUCGCCCUUAGUUGCCAUCGGUGGAA